AGCAACAGUAAUGAUACUACUGGAGAUAGAAACAAUACUAAAAUUUAAGACAGGAAUUCCAUUUUAUACUGUUCACCUCUAUCUGUAAGAUAUUUGCUUAGCAUUGUGGUGUUUUUCUAAACUGUUCAAUCCUCUGUAUUUGCUCUCUACAAGUUUUUAAAACUUGAGGUCUCAUUAACUAUUUUAAACCUCAAGCUUAUAGUCUCCACCCUCCACUCCUCCAGAUCCCUGAAAUUUAUGGUGAAGGAUGUUGACCUGAUGAAACAGAUCUGUGGUCAUGGGUUUGAGAAGUGGCUUUCAACAAGGGGUGAUUUUGCCCUCCAUGGAUCAUCUGGCAAUGUCUGGGCACAUGUUUUAGUUUCCAUGAUUGGAGGAUGCUACUGGCGUCUGGUAGGUAGAGGCCAGGAAACACUAGGGGGAAAAAAACAGAUAAAUAAGGCUAAAGAGAAAGGAUGUCACCAGAGUGUGUCUGGUUCCCAUAUAUCCAGAAAACAUCCCUCAUCUGCCAGGAGAUAGCCUCAAAGGGACCAACCCAUCUUAGAGACUUCUACAGACAGCCCGUCCCCCUGUUAGGUGACGAUUUUACCAGUGUAGACCUCCCAGGAUGCAUUAUCACUGCCAGCAUCUGAGGCACUUGUAGUAACCACUUUACGCGGACCUGAAUCAUGAAUGCUUUCCAUGGAAGUGACUCAGAGGAAAAACUAUUUUCAAAGCAAGAAUUGGCAGGGCAGUGGAACUGAUUGGAUGUGCAGUUCAAGCAAGAAGGAAGAAUUAAAAGUGAUGGAGAAGUUGAGUUCCUGAACACCAGAAGGUUUAUGGACAUGGAGCUGGGCUGGAGAGGCUGAAGCUGUCCUGAGGUGGGGGAAAUUUAAAGGAGUGGGAAAGGUGUAGGGGACAACUGUCCUCUUUGCCAUCCAGAAUCUAGUCACCCUUCUAGUAAGCCAGAACCCUAAAGUUUCUCCAAUGAUCUCACAGAGUCAAUGGACAUGAACUUGAAUAGAACAGGUUGUGUGAGCUGCUGCAACCAUCUCGUCACCACGUGGAGCCUGAGAAAGGCAUGCAGUGGGAGGGGGCAGGGACGAGAUGGAGAGAGAUCAGAGAGAUUAAGAGACUCCUGAAGCAAGCUAUAUUGGUUCCACCCCAAACUUUUCUGUUACA
rnacentral:lncRNA from 10 species